AGGGCUUGUCAUAGUCAUUGCAAUAGGCAUUGGCACCGGUAUUGGUAUCGUAGUUCUUGGUGCAGUUCCUGCAAUUAUAGCAUCGGCGAUUUUGAAGAAAAAUAGGAUGAAGGUCGAUGUUAGCUAAUGGCUUACAAAUUAACAGACAUAAUAUUGGAAGAAAAGAAUGGAAAAGUUAGGAAAUAAGCUUCAUACAUUUGCACUGAAUUUCUGUAGUGAAAAUAGACCCCUCUCGGGCAACCAGAGUUCCUUUCACUACAACUUUUCUCCUUUGAACUGGAAUUGUAAUCGGAAUCCACUACAUUUGAAAAAAGCAAAAAGAAAAAGGGAAGUGGAUCAUCCCUUUUGUCUUUAAAAACUGGUUUCUGAAGCAAGCAAAAGCAUCAGAAUUACUUGCUGUUCUGUACACACGGCUGACUCCUUAUUCUGCCUCUCCAUAGUGCUAAAUGUUUCACCUGUUAAAGAACAUGUUGGCCACCUGAGUGUGGCAUAGUUUGGAUUGUGGGUUUUAGCUGCAGGUGGCAAGAGAGCCUGUUUAGAUACCUGCUUACAGGCUUCCAUCAUGAAGUGCAUAAUGUUAGUCUUCAAACCCAAAUGUAAAGAUGCCAGACUCUAAAAGGAAUGUUGUAGGUUCUUGAUGUGACCUUUCUUCAGAUUUAGUCUUCAUCUACAGAUUUUUGUUGAAGUGAGAAUCUCUUCAGAUAAAUCCACCUUUUGUUCCCAGCUCUAUAGCUUCGGUUUCUUUUUACAAAUUUUCUCUUAGGGGAGACACUAUAUAUCAGAGUGACGUGUGUGAAUUUACAUGGAGUUCCAGAGAUGUUCAGAAUACUCAUCACUGAGUUUUUAAUAAAAUUUACUGAAAAUAAGGCAUCCUGUUUCUUUCCCUACAAUCAACUAGCACUUUAUAAGAGGUAAGCAAUAAGAUCAAAAGUGUAUUCCAUAGCAAGUUCUCCAGUGGUUUAGUGACUAAAUUAAUUUUAUGUUUUAGUCAUCAAAAAAUGUCUUUGGAGGUCUGAAAACAAGCUUUUUAAAAUUCAGGAUAUGGCACUCUCUGCUGGUAAAAUAGAGGUGAUUGUAAUCCAAUACAUUAUUAUAAAUUUAUUUUAUAAUUUAAAACAUGUUGUUUAUAUUCUUUUUUAUAAUCACAACUAUGUUGAGUUUUGUUUAGCAAUAUGCAUCAAUCUUUGAAACUGUAACUGAAGG